AGACUUGUAAACAUUUGUGGCUUUAACAGCUUAUAUCAUAAAUAAUAAUCAAACUGAGGAUCAUCAGGCAUCCAAAAACACAGCAGUGGUAUAAAAACAUUUUUAGAUCACAGUAAAGUUCAUGACGCAGAGACAUCGUGGAAGACAGGCAAAUAUUCUUUUUUGUAUUAACUAUAAAAAUAUGACUUAAGUCAAAGAGUCCGAUGUGAGUGUGCAACAGUCCCAGUGAGCUCAGAGUCCAUCUUCAGGGCCUCUUUAGUCCACCUCCUCAAUAGUGGGCCCCUGGGAGCCGGCUCGUGCCUGCUCUCCACAGGUAGCACCAGUGGGCAUCCUCCUGAUACAGCUUGCUGAUGAUGGGGUUGCACACUUUCUCCAGCUCUUUCUGCUUGUGUUGGUACUCCUCUUUAUCAGCCAGCUGGUUGUUCUCCAGCCAGGCGAUGGCCUCGUCACAUUUCUCCACCACCUUCUUCUUGUCCUCCUCGCUGAUUUUGCCCUUCAGGUUGUCGUCCUGCACGCUGCUCUUCAUGUUGAAGGCGUAGGACUCCAGGGAGUUCUUGGCGGCGAUUUUGUCCCUCUGAAGGUCGUCCUCGGCUUUGUAUUUCUCUGCGUCCUGCACCAUCUUCUCGAUCUCUUCUUUGCUCAGUCGGCCCUUAUCGUUGGUGAUGGUGAUCUUGUUCUCUUUGCGGUGCUCUUGUCCACCAUGAACACGUUCAAAAUGCCGUUGGCAUCGACGUCGAAGGUGACCUCGAUCUGCGGGACGCCUCGUGGGGCGGGCGGGAUCCCCGUCAGCUCAAACUUGCCCAGCAGGUUGUUGUCCUUGGUCAUGGCUCUCUCUCCUUCGUAGACCUGGAUCAGGACGCCGGGCUGGUUGUCGGAGUAGGUGGUGAAGGUCUGGGUCUGCUUGGUGGGGAUGGUGGUGUUGCGUUUGAUCAGGGCCGUCAUGACCCCUCCGGCCGUCUCGAUACCCAGGGACAGAGGCGCCACGUCCAGCAGCAGCAGCUUCUGGAUUUUGGGGAUUCGGGUGGAGCCUCCCACCAGGACGACGUCGUGGAUCUGCCCCUUGUCCAGUUUGGCGUCCCUCAGGGAUUUCUCCACCGGCUCCAAGGUUCCCCUGAACAGGUCGGAGCACAGCUCCUCAAAGCGAGCCCUGGUGAUGGAGGUGUAGAAGUCGACGCCCUCAAACAGAGAGUCGAUCUCGAUGCUGGCCUGGGAGCUGGAGGACAGGGUCCUCUUGGCCCUCUCACAAGCUGUGCGCAGCCUCCUCAAGGCUCUCUUGUUCUGGCUGAUGUCCUUCUUGUGCUUCCUCUUGAACUCCUCCACAAAGUGGUUCACCAUGCGAUUGUCAAAGUCCUCUCCGCCCAGGUGGGUGUCUCCGGCCGUGGACUUCACCUCAAAGAUGCCGUCUUCAAUGGUCAGGAUGGACACGUCGAAGGUGCCCCCACCCAGGUCAAAGAUCAGGACGUUCCUCUCGCCUGACUUGCCUUUGUCCAGACCGUAGGCGAUGGCGGCCGCCGUGGGCUCGUUGAUGAUCCUCAGAACGUUGAGGCCCGCGAUGACGCCCGCGUCUUUAGUGGCCUGUCGCUGGGAGUCGUUGAAAGCGCGCCGGGACCGUGAUGACAGCGUUGGACACCUUUUGGCCCAGGUAGGCCUCUGCGAUCUCCUUCAUCUUCACCAGGACCAUGGAGGAGAUCUCCUCGGGGUAGAAGGCCUUGUCCUCCCCUUUGUACUCCACUCUGAUUUUGGGCUUCCCUCCGUCUGAAAUCACCUUGAAGGGCCAGUGCUUCAUGUCCGCCUGCACCACAGGUUCAUCAAACUUUCUUCCAAUCAGCCUCUUGGCAUCAAACACAGUGUUGCUGGGGUUCAGAGCCACCUGGUUCUUGGCUGCGUCCCCAAUGAGCCUCUCGGUGUCUGUGAAGGCCACAUAGCUGGG
ensembl:lncRNA